rnacentral:tRNA from 1 species
GCCCGCGUAGCUCAGCCGGUAGAGCACACCCUUGGUAAGGGUGAGGCCACUGGUUCAAGUCCAGUCGCGGGCA